rnacentral:rRNA from 1 species
AGUGAACGCUGGCGGUAGGCCUAACACAUGCAAGUCGAACGGCAGCACAGUAAGAGCUUGCUCUUACGGGUGUCGAGUGGCGGACGGGUGAGGAAUACAUCGGAAUCUACUUUUUCGUGGGGGAUAACGUAGGGAAACUUACGCUAAUACCGCAUACGACCUACGUGUGAAAGCAGGGGAUCUUCUGACCUUGCGCGAUUGAAUGAGCCGAUGUCGGAUUAGCUAGUUGGCGGGGUAAAGGCCCACCAAGGCGACGAUCCGUAUCUGGUCUGAGAGGAUGAUCAGCCACACUGGAAGUGAGACAGGGCCCCGACUCCUACGGGAGGCAGCAGUGGGGAAUAUUGGACAAUGGGGGCAAGCCUGAUCCAGCCAUACCGCGUGGGUGAAGAAGGACUUAGGGUUGUAAAGCCCUUUUGUUGGGAAAGAAAAGCAGCAGGUUAAUACCCCGCUGUUCUGACGGUACCCAAAGAAUAAGCACCGGCUAACUUCGUG